ACAGUAGGAACAGUAGUCAGGGGGAGGGGGGACACAGUAGGAACAGCUACUGGGAUGUUCUGUCCUCUUUCUGUGAAGGCUCUGACUCCCCUGUUCACCCCCCUGCCUCUCUCACGUGGACCGCUCCAACACAGUCUGGAUAUAUACGGACUGCGCCGUCCAGCCUCAGGAAGAGGGGUGUUUCAGACACGGAGGAGGAGUACAGGUCAGUGUGUGAACAAACCUGUCGAUCUGACUUUGUGGCCUGGGAAGACCUGCCCUUCUCUGAGUGUCUGGGGGAGUUUGUCUGUGAUCCUGCAGACACACAGACACCAACUGACCAUCAUGCCCAGACCAGCCCUGUGGGGAGAAACGUAUUCACUACUCUGACAGACACAAAGUCGAUCCCCACAUCACACAGAAGUCUACUGGACAUUACUAAUGUUGGACAGCAUGGAGGUCUCAGCCCUCGGUCACCCGGACACACAGCUGACCUGGGGGAGUAUAACUGUUCAGCAGACCACCGACACACACACCCCCCGCACCGACACACACACACCCCGCACCGACACACACACACCCCGCACCGACACACAGCUGACCUGGGGGAGUAUAACUGUUCAGCAGACCUAUUCCACUGCUCUCAGACCAGCACGGACACACAUACACCCCGCAUCAACACACACACACCCGGCACGGACUCACACACACCCAGCACGGACUCACACACACCCAGCACGGACUCACACACACCCAGCACGGACUCACACACACCCAGCACGGACUCACACAUGGACACACCUUCAGAGUGUUGUGACUGUGUCCCUUUGUCCCAGUCCACCCCCAUCAUCAGGAAUACUGCUCCACCACAUACACUGCAGGUUAGAGCCCGGCGACACACACCCAGCAACACCCACACACACACACCCAGCAACACCCACACACACACACCCAGCAACACCCACACACACACACCCAGCAACACCCACACACACACACCCAGCAACACCCACACACACACACCUAAAGGACUCACACACACCAAGAGACCCAGAGAUAAUAUACUAGCUCUGCAGUGUCAGAGGUUCACGAGAAGAGCUCUGAAGAGAACACCUGGAUGGAGAAGGACCGGUAGUAUGAGACUGUGUGACGACGACAGUGAGAUGGUGAUCUCUCCUACUCAAAGACCCUGGUGCUCCAGAAGGACAGACAAACAGCAGGCUGGGGGAGAGAGAGAGAACAGAGGGAGAACCACAGGGGGAGAGAGAGAGAACAGGAGAUCUACACAUAUUCACCAGACACUGAGAGAGGGACAGACAGAGGGUUUAGCCAACCAGCAGCUCGAAGACAGCAGGUCUGUUAGCUCCUCCCUCCACGAGGAGAAUGAAGUGUGUGAUUGGUCCAGAGACCUGUUUACUGACUCUUUCUGAGGGCUCUUUCCUCCCCCUUCUCCACGACGUGUGUCCUGGUCCACUCCUCGUCAAGGAUGUAAAGUAAUUGGAUCGACUUAUGAAACAUGCAACGUGACUAUAAUAAAAUGGAGGAACAAUGUCGUGAAUUUCAAAUGUCUAGUAUAAAGCCUUUUUUUUCUCUAAAGCAUUGUACCUUAACCAAAGGACAGUGUCCUUGUCUACAUUUCAAGUGGCCAAUGGCUGUGAGAAGUUCUGUUCACACGAGGACAAUAAAAUCAAAUCUUGUAGAAUUGUAUCGAAAGAGGAAGAGUGAGGCCCAACUCGACUGAAAAAUUGUCAUGUGGUGUUUUUUUGUUGUCAUUUCGCCCACCAAGCAAGGAGUUUUUGUAGGGAGGUCGAAUUUCGUCAACAAAAAAAAAAAAUGUAUGGCUUCUUUGAUGUUUAUUUGAUCUAAUAGAAGUUUUAAAGCUGAAGUUACGAGUGUACUGAUGUAAGUAGGACAUGUAACAUCCCAGAAACUUCUAGAAAAAAACACUUUAUAACACAGAGUUAUCUCCAGAUGGCUAUGCAUAUUCAUGGCAUGAGGCUAGUAUCAUACUUUCGGAAAGUAUUCAGACCCCUUGACUUUUUCCACAUUUUGUUACGUUACAGCUUUAUUCUAAAAUUGAUUACAUUUUCGCCCAAUCAAUUGUGAUGGAAAUGUUAUACUUGAGCUUUUCUAAUAACUAAUUUCUGUGUUCAUGCAAGUGACUGAUUGAAGGAAUCCUCACUUGUCAGUAUCUGCAAUUUGGCAGUACGCCCAGAACCUUGUUUUGAGAACAAAAGAUAUUUUACUUUCAAGGUCUCAGCUUAGAGAGAAGAAGCCUUGAGCGGUAUUGGUCUGUCACAUGUUGUCGUGUUGGUCGGUCACAUAAAUGAAACAAAACGAUAAUGAUGAAUUAAUUAUGCCAAAUCAUGCAAAUAUAACUUGUCUGUGUAUAGCCGUCUGUAAGACAACUGUUGGGACUGCCCCAGCAGAGCUCCUGAUUGACAUGUGUACUAUGGGUCAUUGAGUUGGUUAGAACCUCUCCAGGGCGCUGACAAUAAACAAUGAUUCAUUUAAGAUUGACUUCGAGUGUCCCUGUGUAAAAUCAUUUCCAAGACGCAAUCUACACACAAUACCCCAUAAUGACAAAACAAAAAACAGAUUUUUAGAAAUUUUAGCAAUUGUAUUAAAAAUAAAAACAUGAUACCUUAAUAAAAAACAGCAUUCAGACCCUUUACUAUGAGACUAUGAAAUUGAGCUCAGGUGCAUCCUAUUUUCCAUUGAUCAUCCUUGAGAUGUUUCUACAAAUUGAUUGGAAUCCACCUGUGGUAAAUUUAAUUGAUUGGACAUGAUUUGGAAAGUCACACACCUGUAUAUAUCAGGUCCCACAGAUGACAGUGCAUGUCAGAGCAAAAACCAAGCCGUGAGGUUGAAGGAAUUGUCCGUAGAGCGUCGAGGCACAGAUCUGGGCAAGGGUACCAAAAAAUGGCUGCCACAUUGAAGGUCCCCAAGAACACAGUGGUCUCCAUCAUUAUUAAAUGGAAGAAGUUUGGAACCACCAAGACUCUUCCUAGAGGUGGCCGCCCGGCCAAACUGAGCAAUCGGGGGAAAAGGGUCUUGGUCAGGGAGGUGACCAAGAACCCGAUGGUCACUCUGACAGAGCUCCAGAGUUCCUCUGUGGAGAUGGGAGAACCUUCCAGAAGGACAACCAUCUCUGCAGCACUCAAGCUUUUAUGGUAGAGUAGCCAAACGGAUGCCAUUCCUCAGUAAAAGGAACAUGACAGCCUGCUUGGAGUUUGCCAAAAGACACCUAAAGGACUCUCAGACCAUGAGAAACAAGAUUCUCUGGUCUGAUGAAACCACGGUUGAACCCUUUGGCCUGAAUGUCACGUCUGGAGGAAACCUGGCACCAUCCCUACGGUGAAGCAUGGUGGUGGCAGCAUCAUGCUGUGGGGAUGUUUUUCAGGGACUGGGAGACUAGUCAAAAUCGAGGCAUAGAUGAACGGAGCAAAGUACAGAGAGAUCCUUGAUGAAAUCCUGCUCCAGAGCGCUCAGACUGGGGCGAAGGUUCACCUUCCAACAGGACAACAACCCUAAGCACACAGCCAAGACAAUGCAGAAGUGGCUUCGUUGACAAGUCUCUGAAUGUCUUUAAGUCGCCCAGCCAGAGCCUGGACUUGAACCUGAUCGACAUCUCUGGAGAGACCUGAAAAUAGCUGUGCAGCGACGCUCCCCGUUCAACCUGACAGUUUGAGAGGAUCUGCAGAGAAUAAUGGUAGAAAUAAAGCUUAACUUCUUGUUAAUCCAGCCGCAGUGUCAGAUUUCAAAAAGGCUUUACGGCGAAAGCAAACCAUGUGAUUAUCUGAGGACAGAGCCCCGCAUACAAACACAUGAAAUCAUAUUUCAACCAGGCAGGUGGGCCACGAAAGUCAGAAAAAGCAAUAUAAAAAAUGCCUUACCUUUGAUGAUCUUAUUCUGUUGGCACUCCAAAAGGUCCCAGUUACAUCACAAAUGGUCCUUUUGUUCGAUAAUAUCCUUCUUUAUAUCCAUAAAAACUAAGUUUAGCUGGCGCACUUCAGUCAAUAAUCCACCCAGUUUCCCUCCAUCAAAAUGCAUACAAAAUGAGUCCCAAACAUUACUAAUAAACGUGUCCAAACAAGUCAAACAACGUUUAUAAUAAAACCUUAGGUCCCCUAAUAUGUAAAUAAAACCUUAGGUCCCCUAAUAUGUAAAUAAAACCUUAGGUCCCCUAAUAUGUAAAUAAAACCUUAGGUCCCCUAAUAUGUAAAUAAAACCUUAGGUCCCCUAAUAUGUAAAUAAAACCUUAGGUCCCCUAAUAUGUAAAUAAAACCUUAGGUCCCCUAAUAUGUAAAUAAACGAUAGCAUUUAAGACGGAGAAUCGUUAUUGUCUUUACCGGAGAAAAAUACCACAGAACACCCUCUCUUCCACGCGCUUGGAAACACUACAGUCAAAAUGGGAGCCACCUAGAAAAUCUACAAUUUCUGGGUCAUUUUUCAAAAAAACAGCAUGAAACUCUUUCUAAAGACUGUUAACAUUAUUUUAUUUUAUUUAUCCGUUAUUUUACCAGGUAAGUUGACUGAGAACACGUUUUCAUUUGCAGCAACGACCUGGGGAAUAGUUACAGGGGAGAGGAGGGGGAUGAAUGAGCCAAUUAUAAACAUCUAGUGGAAACCCUAGGGACUGCAAUCUGGGAGUACUUGGCCUUAUAAUAAAAGUGAUAGCCAUUGAAAAUUGUGGUAGGCUGAAUUUUUUUGGGGGGGGUUGUCCUCGGGGUUUCGCCUGCCAUAUCAGUUCUGUUAUACUCACAUACAUACAUAUUUUAACAGUUUUCGAAAACGUUAGAGUGUUUUCUAUCCAGAUCUACCAAUUAUAUGCAUAUCCUAGCUUCUGGGCCUGAGUAACAGGCAGUUUACUUUGGGCGAGCUUUUCAUCCGGACGUGAAAAUACUGCCCCCUACCCAAGAGAGGUUAAACAACGUACUGAUUAAAGGGUCUGAAUACUUAAGUAAAUGUCAUAUUUCAGUUUUUUAAAUUUUUUAAUACAUUUGCAAAAAUGUCUAACCCUGUUUUUUCCUUCAUUAUGGAGUAUUGUGUGUAGAUUGAGGGGAGAUACCCCAUAUUAUUUAAUCAAUUUUGGAAUAAGGCUGUAACCUAACAAAAUUUGGAAAAAGUCAAGGAGUCUGAAUACUUUCCGAAUGCAUAGGUCUGAUAUGAUAUGUCUGAUAUGAUAUGUCUGAUAUGAUAUGUCAGAUAUGAUAGGUCUGAUAUGAUAUGUCUGAUAUGAUAGGUCUGAUAUGAUAUGUCUGAUAUGAUAUGUCAGAUAGGUCUGAUAUGAUAUGUCUGAUAUGAUAUGUCUGAUAUGAUAUGUCUGAUAUGAUAGGUCUGAUAUGAUAUGUCUGAUAUGAUAGGUCUGAUAUGAUAUGUCAGAUAGGUCUGAUAUGAUAUGUCAGAUAGGUCUGAUAUGAUAUGUCUGAUAUGAUAGGUCUGAUAUGAUAUGUCUGAUAUGAUAGGUCUGAUAUGAUAUGUCUGAUAUGAUAGGUCUGAUAUGAUAUGUCAGAUAGGUCUGAUAUGAUAGGUCUGAUAUGAUAUGUCUGAUAUGAUAGGUCUGAUAUGAUAUGUCUGA